UCCACGCACAACCUGUGGACCUGACAGCACAGGACAGGGCGGGGCCACAGAGCCAAGCCCCAACCCGCGGAGAACCUCCCAGGUCUUCAGAGUCCUUCAGAGAUAACCAUGAUGGAUGACAUCAUCAGGGCAUGCUCCUUUAAUGGUACAUGUGCACAGGAUCAGUCAUUACCACACUUAUUCAUUAGCUAUGAAUUGCAAUGCAAUGCAUUCUGGUAGUGCCGCUGUGCAUUUUGAGAGACGGGCGUCAUGUUACAACGGGUCUGAUAUACUCUUGUGUCUUUUUAGGCUCCUUUUUCAUUUUUUGUUUUAUCAAGGUUAAUCACAUGACUGUAUACUGGGCAUACUUGCCAACCCUCAUAAUUUUCCCAGGACACUCUCCUAGUUUCCUCACAGGAUCACAGUUUUCUUGUAUUUCUCCCUGAUUUAUGACAGAUUUUUACUGUACAUGUAUAACAGGUUUUUUACACAAACACCAUGUUUGGAAGUUCAGUUGAUUGCUGUGCUCCAUGUAUUUCAGCCGUAUGCCCCACAAUUCUAGAAGUCUACUGUUCUUGCAAAAGUAAAAUGAAAAGUAUUUAACAUAAAAAUGCUGCUGCAGUGUACUGUACUUAUUAUUAUUAAAAGUCACCAGAAUGCAGGAAA